UCAAACUUGGUCAUUUAGAGGAAGUAAAAGUCGUAACAAGGUCUCCGUAGGUGAACCUGCGGAGGGAUCAUUACCGAGUCCUGCCCUUGGGCAGAUCUCCCACCCACUGUGAUUGUUACUCUCGUUGCCUUGGCGGGCGACUGGCCGGUGGCCCGCCAGAGGACCCCUAAGACCCUGCAUGUCGGUGUUGUCCGAGUACAAUUUAUAAUGAUUAAAACUUUCAACAACGGAUCUCUUGGUUCUGGCAUCGAUGAAGAACGCAGC
rnacentral:misc_RNA from 1 species